CUCUCUCUCUCUCUCUCAUUUCCCUUUCCCUUUUGCAGAUAAUCACAAAAUCCCUAAAUCUAGCUUUCUUAGCUGCAUCCGAAGCUGAUCCGAUCGAUACUUUAUUCAUCUCAGUAAUCACAGAAGGAAAUCAAGAAACUGAUCUCUCUAAAAGCAGUCCAAAACCCUCGUUUUCAUCUCUGUCGGACGCGUUUGACCCCACCGAUGCAUUAGAAUCCUUCCCUACACCAUCGAUUACUGAUGGGAAUCAAGGAUCUGGCGUGCAUCUAUACACACGUCCACCUGAUGCAUGGCCUAGAUUUCCACAUCGUGAAGUUGCCAUGCGUGUCCACAUAUAGAGAUGCAUGUGGAAAAGUGCGCGUGGGCUUAGCGGAACUCCUGUAUGGUGUAUUUGUUUAUAUAUUAGUCUUUAUUUUACAGGUUAUCUUUAGAUCUGUAUACUAUUGAUGAUUCUCUCCCAUUUAUUCUCAACAUUCUCUUAGCAAAUUUCUUUAGCCUUGUCGGCAUUGCAAUAGUUUUGUCAUAUGCUCAGGUAAAACUAGAAGGCUUUUUGUUGUAUCAAUCCAGAUAUCUGAUUAGACUGUUUUAGUUCUGUAUGAUCAUAUUUCUUAACACUACGUAGAUAAAGUAUGUUGUUCAGACAUUUAAUUGAUAUGUGCAAAUUCUGUUCUUGCUUCUGUUAUUACCGUUUUGGUAUAUCUACAAAAAAUUGCAGGUCUGCAAAGUGGCCCCCAUGGAAAUCCUCUCCCACAUGCACUUUACAAGCAAAAUAUGUGCCAAUAUAGCAUGUGUAAAGGAUAUCUGAUAGGAGCAUAGGAUGGGCUGCACGGUGCAGAUGAUGGAAAGAAGCAGUGUCAUUACCGAAUGGUUUAUAUGCCCAUGUCGUGCUUGUAUGGGAAGAGGUUUGUUGGUCCAAUCACACCAUUAAUUUUGUUAUUGAGAAAGGAGCUCUACAUGACCCCGUAUCAACAAGUAGAUUGGAAUCAAGUCCG